AACGAACGCUGGCGGCAGGCCUAACACAUGCAAGUCGAACGCUGUAGCAAUACAGAGUGGCAGACGGGUGAGUAACACGUGGGAACGUGCCCUUCGGUUCGGAAUAACUCAGGGAAACUUGAGCUAAUACCGGAUAAGUGCGAGAGCAGAAAGAUUUAUCGCCGAAGGAUCGGCCCGCGUCCGAUUAGCUAGUUGGUGAGGUAAUGGCUCACCAAGGCGACGAUCGGUAGCUGGUCUGAGAGGAUGAUCAGCCACACUGGGACUGAGACACGGCCCAGACUCCUACGGGAGGCAGCAGUGGGGAAUAUUGGACAAUGGGCGCAAGCCUGAUCCAGCCAUGCCGCGUGAGUGAUGAAGGCCCUAGGGUUGUAAAGCUCUUUCGCCAGGGACGAUAAUGACGGUGCCUGGAUAAGGAGCCCCGGCUAACUUCGUGCCAGCCGCCGCGGUAA
rnacentral:rRNA from 1 species